ACAGAAAUUAAACAUGGCUGUUCCACCAGGAGGACCUAUGGAGAUCUGCUUCUCUUUUGAUACUACUGGGUCGAUGUCCAGUUCUAUAAACGCUGUAAAAGAAACUGUGCAAGAAUUGAUUCUACGACUACAGACGGACAAACCCGGUCUUAGAGUCGCUGUCUUCGCUCAUGGUGAUUAUUGUGAUAAAAACUCGUCAUACGUCACCAAACACAUUGACUUUUCAACCGAUUUGAAAGAACUGUGUAACUGGGUGAAAAAUGUUGAAUCCAUCGGCGAGAGCGAUGAAUGUUAUGAAUUGGUGUUACAUGAGGUUCAAAGUCUUUCGUGGACGCCGGGAUCACAGAGAGCUCUGGUGAUGAUUGCAAAUGCAAUUCCGCAUGGUUUAAAAUACCCAGACAAUAAAUUGAGAUUAGAUUGGGAAGUGGAAUUAGACAUUAAAUUGGCAGCAAUGAGUGUCCGCGUGUACGGUGUCCAAUGCGGAGGUUCGGGCGAUGAGAGAACCAAAAACUUCUACCAAACACUGGUCAACAAGAUGGCGGGCAGACGAGUGGAGUUGGAGCAGUUUUCCAACCUAUUUGAUUUUAUCAUGGAUAUUUGCUACAGAGAGAAAGCAGCAGAGUUUCUCUAUGAACAGGAAGUCCGUGCCAGAGAUGCUAGAAUGGGUCUCCAUAAGGACGUGCACGCUCUGUUCGGGGCUCUAAGAGAGGGAGAAGAAGAACCUUCAACUUCCUCGUCAACCACAGAGAAGCCAAAGUCCAGAACACUUCCAUUCAAGCCAGCUCUGAAAAAGAAACCUUCGCCCACAAAGGCUCAUUCCAUUACCAAACUGAAGAAAAACAGUUCCCUCAUUCAUAAAGUCAAGAAAACCAUCGCCAAAAAGAAACCCAGCUCUGCAGUCGAUAGAAAGAAGGCGAAACUCUUGUCAAAAGGUACAUUACAUAGAAGUCUUUUUUCUUCUUCUUCAGAAUACACCCCAUUAAAAUGAAAAAAUUUCUCGGCCCUUAAUAGAACACUUUGGCUAACUAGAGGCUUUCCAUUUAUCGAUCCAGUCUGCUCUCUUUUUCGGGAUUCCUUGGCUGGCGAAAAUGUUUGUUGUUUGACCACGCAGCUCUUUACCAUUUGUGGUAAAUUGUAUUUCAUAAUAUUUCAGAUGAACGCUCUUAGAAAACUGAAGAGAGAAAACGUUCCGGACACGAACUUUUCUUUAAACAAAAUACAGUGGUCCCCAUGGGAACUAGUCAUCUCUCCCACCAAACCAGAAAACGACUCUUUGUGGACUGAAAGAUACAGAGGAAGAAAGGGUUUCCGCAAAACCAGCGUCUGCGGAGGAAAGACUUUUCCUGCAGCUGUGUACGAGUUCUCUGUGAGGAAACUUUCCGAUCCUAAACGUUACGUGACAUACUGUAAAUUGUCGUCAGGAUUCACCAAGACAAGGUGUUGGGAAUCGAGACUUUUAUCUCAUUCUGACGUUCGAUCCCAAGUCAACAAAAUUGUUGCUUUAGGGUAUUCCGUCUAUGUACGACGAUGUUUGUUGAAUGAUUCUAACAAAGACACUGUCAGGAAAUCAUUACUUCGAUAUGACUAUGCUUGGAAGCGAGUUACAAAUGUUAGGGAUUCGCAUAGCGAUAUAUCAGUAGCAUAAUUUAUGUCAUGUUAUUUAUUCUAUGUCGUUUCUAUUGUACUUAUUGUGCAUUUUUAUAUCAGAAUAUAGAUUCUGGAUUUGUUGUUGUUUUUUAAAUGAAACAAAUAUGAAUGC
rnacentral:misc_RNA from 1 species